GCCUCUAUAGCUCAGUUGGUAGAGUACUCGUCUAGAUAACGAGAGGUCCCCAGUUCAAUUCUGGGUGGACGUA
rfam:Phlebotomus papatasi Contig63736.1, whole genome shotgun sequence.